rnacentral:rRNA from 1 species
UCCAAGUCGAGCGGAUGAGAGGAGGCUGCUCCUGGAUCCGCGGCGGACGGGUGAGUAAUGCGUAGGAAUCUGCCUGGUAGUAGGGGACAACGGUUUGAAAGGAACGCGUAAUACCGCAUACGUCCUACGGGAGAAAGCAGGGGACCUUCGGGCCUUGCGCUAUCAGAUGAGCCUAGGUCGGAUUAGCUAGUUGGUGAGGUAAUGGCUCACCAAGGCGACGAUCCGUAACUGGUCUGAGAGGAUGAUCAGUCACACUGGAACUGAGACACGGUCCAGACUCCUACGGGAGGCAGCAGUGGGGAAUAUUGGACAAUGGGCGAAAGCCUGAUCCAGCCAUGCCGCGUGUGUGAAGAAGGUCUUCGGAUUGUAAAGCACUUUAAGUUGGGAGGAAGGGUUGUAGAUUAAUACUCUGCAAUUUUGACGUUACCGACAGAAUAAGCACCGGCUAACUCUGUGCCAGCAGCCGCGGUAAUACAGAGGGUGCAAGCGUUAAUCGGAAUUACUGGGCGUAAAGCGCGCGUAGGUGGUUCGUUAAGUUGGAUGUGAAAUCCCCGGGCUCAACCUGGGAACUGCAUUCAAAACUGUCGAGCUAGAGUAUGGUAGAGGGUGGUGGAAUUUCCUGUGUAGCGGUGAAAUGCGUAGAUAUAGGAAGGAACACCAGUGGCGAAGGCGACCACCUGGACUGAUACUGACACUGAGGUGCGAAAGCGUGGGGAGCAAACAGGAUUAGAUACCCUGGUAGUCCACGCCGUAAACGAUGUCAACUUGCCGUUGGGAGCCUUGAGCUCUUAGUGGCGCAGCUAACGCAUUAAGUUGACCGCCUGGGGAGUACGGCCGCAAGGUUAAAACUCAAAUGAAUUGAUGGGGGCCCGCACAAGCGGUGGAGCAUGUGGUUUAAUUCGAAGUAACGCGAAGAACCUUAACAGGCCUUGACAUCCAAUGAACUUUCCAGAGAUGGAUGGUGCUUCGGUAGCAUUGAGACAGGUGCUGCAUGCCUGUCGUCAGCUCGUGUCGUGAGAUGU